AUACUUCAAGCCCAUUGCACUAGGUGGUAAAAAUAAAUCCCAUUCAUUUCAGGAUUCAUUUCCUGACAUUUUUGUAGAGUUGCAGCUGAGAACCAGGGGGCGUGCACAGAGCAGAGGCAUUGGGGGGAUGCUGACACUCCAAGACUUGAAACCAAGUAGCAAGCUCCUGGAUUACCACUGAGCCCUGAAAGGAGAGCAAGGGGGGCACAGGAGGAAAUGCUACCCCUUGUUCUUAUGGCCUCCCAGACUUUCCUGAAGACAUUGAGUCUUUUCCUCCCAUCCCCAUCUCAGUGUGGAAAACUGGAGCCAGACCACUGUUUCAGUUCACCAUUGCCUCAUCUGCAUGACUUUCCAGAUUCCUCUUUGGGCCCAGAAAUGUCACAGCCUCUGACCUGUGGUGCAGUCUUUGACCACCGUUGAUGUUCUUGGCCCUCAACACCAUUGUACAAAUCAGAAGGUGACCCUCUGCAUGCAUAUGAAGAGCAAGGCUCAAUUCUGCCAGGAGAGUGGGGCUGGAUUGAAGGUCUGGCUGGCUCCCAAUAUGAGCUUGGGCAAGGAAUCACCUGUACCACUGCUCCUGUAUCUUCCCUGCAGCUACCCAUAGCCCCAGCACCAUCAGCCUGCUGAGAACCAUCCAGACCCCUGAGUGUGCAUCCAGUUCUCAGUGAGUAGAUGACCCCCAGGAACAAAAGUGCGUGGAGCUCUACCUAAAUGACUUGAUGCCCAAGUCCCUGAGGCAUCUAGCCUUUCUCGGUUCACCUGAGGUUCCACCUUGGGGUGAGCCUUCUCCUCCCAGAUUCUUGUCUACCUAUCUACAAGGUUUUCAGGAUAGGAAGUCUCGAGGAGAACCAGGGAGGAGGCUGAGGCUGCUAGUGGUUCAGAAGCAGCCAGCGUGGGGUGUUGUCCUAAUGGUUCCCAUGCUUGACUGAGAUGCCUCCUCUGUGUUCCUAGCUUGGACUCUGCCCCUGAACCCAACAGGAUGAGAGCAGCCUGACUCACGCUCCUGCCCGUGACAGGGAAAUUAUGAAAAACAGCUUGAAUUGUUUCCAGACCUCCUCAUGAAUUCUGUGUAGUAUGACCUUAAAUAUACUAGGUAAGCUGGAAACUUAAAAUAGUUCAGCUCUUAGAAUUUGGUCUUCUCCUUAAGUUGCAUUUCUUAACUGGUAAGGUUUGGGUUUUCUUUGUUAAUAUAAAAAAUAAAUCCAAGGCCAAAAUCCCAUAGAUUUUGAAGUGAAAUCCUCAUAAAAUGGUUUAAUUUGCCAUUAAUAGCCAUCCUGUUGCUAUCUGGCUUAAUAAUUAUUUAGAAGAGUACUUUUGGCUAUUUAUUCAUGAUUUUGUUGUUGACUUCUAUUUUAUUGGAUUGACUGGAAAAUACGGUCUCUGUGGCUGUGAGAUGAAGUAUAUAAUUCACAAUUGUAUAUGCUCUGAGAAUGUAAAAAAAUAAUUCACAUUCUCCAUCGAAUACAAAUGUUUUAAAUAUAUAUAUGUUUGUAAAUAUUUGAAAAGUCUGCUGAUCUUAUUUUUAAUGCACUACGUCUUUACGUGAUUAAAUUAUCUUUAUUGUUCCAGAGGAUUCUGUUUUAUAUAUUUUGAUGCUGUGUGUCUGAUGAAUAAAAAUAUUAACCUCAUUUUGGACUACAGCUUUUAUCAUGAUAUAAUAAGCCCUUUGUCUCAUUUAA